UGUGGCUGGGGGUGAAAGGCCAAUCAAACCGGGAGAUAGCUGGUUCUCCCCGAAAGCUAUUUAGGUAGCGCCUCGUGAAUUCAUCUUCGGGGGUAGAGCACUGUUUCGGCUAGGGGGUCAUCCCGACUUACCAACCCGAUGCAAACUACGAAUACCGAAGAAUGUUAUCACGGGAGACACACGGCGGGUGCUAACGUCCGUCGUGAAGAGGGAAACAACCCAGACCGCCAGCUAAGGUCCCAAAGUCAUGGUUAAGUGGGAAACGAUGUGGGAAGGCACAGACAGCCAGGAUGUUGGCUUAGAAGCAGCCAUCAUUUAAAGAAAGCGUAAUAGCUCACUGGUCGAGUCGGCCUGCGCGGAAGAUGUAACGGGGCUAAACCAUGCACCGAAGCUGCGGCAGCGACACUAUGUGUUGUUGGGUAGGGGAGCGUUCUGUAAGCCUGCGAAGGUGACCUGUGAGGGUUGCUGGAGGUAUCAGAAGUGCGAAUGCUGACAUAAGUAACGAUAAAGCGGGUGAAAAGCCCGCUCGCCGGAAGACCAAGGGUUCCUGUCCAACGUUAAUCGGGGCAGGGUGAGUCGACCCCUAAGGCGAGGCCGAAAGGCGUAGUCGAUGGGAAACAGGUUAAUAUUCCUGUACUUGGUGUUACUGCGAAGGGGGGACGGAGAAGGCUAUGUUAGCCGGGCGACGGUUGUCCCGGUUUAAGCAUGUAGGCUGGUUAUCCAGGCAAAUCCGGAUAAUCAAGGCUGAGGUGUGAUGACGAGGCACUACGGUGCUGAAGUAACAAAUGCCCUGCUUCCAGGAAAAGCCUCUAAGCAUCAGGUAACAUCAAAUCGUACCCCAAACCGACACAGGUGGUCAGGUAGAGAAUACCAAGGCGCUUGAGAGAACUCGGGUGAAGGAACUAGGCAAAAUGGUGCCGUAACUUCGGGAGAAGGCACGCUGGUGUGUAGGUGAAGUCCCUGCGGAUGGAGCUGAGACCAGUCGAAGAUACCAGCUGGCUGCAACUGUUUAUUAAAAACACAGCACUGUGCAAACACGAAAGUGGACGUAUACGGUGUGACGCCUGCCCGGUGCCGGAAGGUUAAUUGAUGGGGUUAUCCGUAAGGAGAAGCUCUUGAUCGAAGCCCCGGUAAACGGCGGCCGUAACUAUAACGGUCCUAAGGUAGCGAAAUUCCUUGUCGGGUAAGUUCCGACCUGCACGAAUGGCGUAAUGAUGGCCAGGCUGUCUCCACCCGAGACUCAGUGAAAUUGAACUCGCUGUGAAGAUGCAGUGUACCCGCGGCAAGACGGAAAGACCCCGUGAACCUUUACUAUAGCUUGACACUGAACAUUGAGCCUUGAUGUGUAGGAUAGGUGGGAGGCUUUGAAGUGUGGACGCCAGUCUGCAUGGAGCCGACCUUGAAAUACCACCCUUUAAUGUUUGAUGUUCUAACGUUGACCCGUGAUCCGGGUUGCGGACAGUGUCUGGUGGGUAGUUUGACUGGGGCGGUCUCCUCCCAAAGAGUAACGGAGGAGCACGAAGGUUAGCUAAUCCUGGUCGGACAUCAGGAGGUUAGUG
rnacentral:rRNA from 1 species